rnacentral:rRNA from 1 species
AUACGGAGGGUGCAAGCGUUAAUCGGAUUUACUGGGCGUAAAGCGUGCGUAGGCGGUUUGAUAAGUCAGAUGUGAAAGCCCCGGGCUCAACCUGGGAACUGCAUUUGAAACUGUCAGACUAGAGUUUGGUAGAGGGUAGUAGAAUUCCUGGUGUAGCGGUGAAAUGCGUAGAUAUCAGGAGGAAUACCAGUGGCGAAGGCGGCUACCUGGACCAAAACUGACGCUGAGGUACGAAAGCGUGGGGAGCAAACAGGAUUAGAUACCCCUGUAGUCC